rnacentral:lncRNA from 1 species
CAAUGGCUAACUUUGCUCACAGAACAUUUCACUUCAAGCAUCUCCACUACAGCUGGGAGGUUGAGAUGACCAGGAUUUCACCUCUUUCCUCACCAGAAUGAACUCUCCUAUUCUGAAUAUAAAAACGUUUAUGAACGGAGCCCGAAAGCUCUCCUAAGAAGCCGCCUCCACAUCCCGAAUGGGACGGGGGGAGAGAGGGGUUUCAUAAUGCUUCGAGAAGAAGACGAAGAGAGGAAAAGAAAAAAAAAAAAAACCCUAAGCUUUAAUUUUAAUUCUCCUGCCUUUAUUUAUCUGAUUUGUGGCCAGAUGGUGGUGAAGCAAGGAAACCCUUUGUGCCCACGAAGCACACAUGUGAAAGUGCUUCUGUAAUGUAAUCAUUGAGACCGGAAGGGUUCAUACUGUGUCUGAAAAGAGACAAUGGAGCCGGGAUAUAUCAACAUCGCCGAAAUCGAGUUCAUUCGCGAUGCAGGCCCUUUGACUGCGGUUGUCA